rnacentral:rRNA from 1 species
GACGAACGCUGGCGGCGUGCCUAACACAUGCAAGUCGAGCGAAUGAAGUUCCUUCGGGAAUGGAUUUAGCGGCGGACGGGUGAGUAACACGUGGGCAACCUGCCUCAUAGAGGGGAAUAGCCUUCCGAAAGGGAGAUUAAUACCGCAUAAGAUUGUAGUACCGCAUGGUACAGCAAUUAAAGGAGCAAUCCGCUAUGAGAUGGGCCCGCGGCGCAUUAGCUAGUUGGUGAGGUAACGGCUCACCAAGGCGACGAUGCGUAGCCGACCUGAGAGGGUGAUCGGCCACAUUGGGACUGAGACACGGCCCAGACUCCUACGGGGGGCAGCAGUGGGGAAUAUUGCACAAUGGGGGAAACCCUGAUGCAGCAACGCCGCGUGAGUGAUGACGGCCUUCGGGUUGUAAAGCUCUGUCUUCAGGGACGAUAAUGACGGUACCUGAGGAGGAAGCCACGGCUAACUACGUGCCAGCCGCCGCGGUAAGAC